GCCCGGAUGGUGGAAUGGCAGACACGACGGUCUUAGAAGCCGUUGCCGAAAGGCGUGCAGGUUCGAGUCCUGUUCCGGGCACCA
rnacentral:tRNA from 1 species